GUAUAUGUGCAGUCUGUAAAGCAGUGGGACUAAAACACUGCUACUGUUAACACAGUUUAAUGUG
rnacentral:snoRNA from 1 species